rnacentral:rRNA from 1 species
GGCCCUACGGGGCGCAGCAGGCGCGAAAACUCUACAAUGCAGGCAACUGCGAUAGGGGAACAUCGAGUGAUACUCAUCUUGGGUGUCUGUCCUCCCGUCUAAAAAACGGGAGUUAGCAAGGGCCGGGCAAGACCGGUGCCAGCCGCCGCGGUAAUACCGGCGGCUCGAGUGGUGGCCGAUAUUAUUGAGUCUAAAGGGUCCGUAGCCGGCUUUGCAAGUCUUUUGGGAAAUCCAGCGGCUUAACCGUUGGGCGUCCGGGAGAUACUACAUUGCUUGGGACUGGGAGAGGUAGGAGGUACUCAGGGGGUAGGAGUGAAA